rnacentral:rRNA from 1 species
CUACGGGUGGCUGCAGUGGGGAAUAUUGGACAAUGGGGGGAACCCUGAUCCAGCCAUGCCGCGUGUGUGAAGAAGGCCCUCGGGUUGUAAAGCACUUUCAGUGAGGAAGAACGCCUGGUGGUUAAUACCCAUCAGGAAAGACAUCACUCACAGAAGAAGCACCGGCUAACUCCGUGCCAGCAGCCGCGGUAAUACGGAGGGUGCGAGCGUUAAUCGGAAUUACUGGGCGUAAAGCGCGCGUAGGUGGCUUGAUAAGCCGGUUGUGAAAGCCCCGGGCUCAACCUGGGAACGGCAUCCGGAACUGUCAAGCUAGAGUGCAGGAGAGGAAGGUAGAAUUCCCGGUGUAGCGGUGAAAUGCGUAGAGAUCGGGAGGAAUACCAGUGGCGAAGGCGGCCUUCUGGACUGACACUGACACUGAGGUGCGAAAGCGUGGGUAGCAAACAGGAUUAGAUACCCCUGUAGUC